GUCUACAACCACACUCCCCUGAAUGCACCCUGUCUCGUCUGAUCUUGGAAACUAAGCAGGGUUAUACUUGGAUUUAGAGGCUAGAGCCACAGGGACCAGGCAAGAGACU
rnacentral:rRNA from 1 species